UAUAUUCUACCCACGCCCUACCCAUCCAUCAGUCACUGAAAUCCUCUGCAUGCCAGUCUGACCGGGGGCUUGGCUACUCUUUCCUUGCGGUGAUGAUUGCGCGGCGUCUGAGCUGCGGUGGCAGUGGCGGUAGGCCGGUAGGGUUUCAAGAACUGACGCGCAAAAGCACGAGCCCUUUCCGGCAGCCUCCUGCCAAUUGGAAUGGCUCGAAAAGCACCAACCUCGGCGUCG
rnacentral:lncRNA from 1 species